rnacentral:rRNA from 1 species
GACGCACUGUCCUAACGUUGUUCGGAAUCACUGGGCUUAAAGGGCGCGUAGGCGGUCCGACAAGUCAGGGGUGAAAUCCUGCAGCUUAACUGCAGAAGUGCCUUUGAUACUGUCGGUCUUGAGGGAGAUAGGGGUGUGCGGAACUCACAGUGGAGCGGUGAAAUGCGUUGAUAUUGUGAGGAACGCCGGAGGCGAAAGCGGCGCACUGGAUCUCUUCUGACGCUGAGGCGCGAAAGCUAGGGGAGCAAACGGG